UACGGGGGGAGCAAGCGUUGUUCGGAUUUACUGGGCGUAAAGGGCGCGUAGGCGGUCGUGCCAAGUCACUUGUGAAAUCUCCGGGCUUAACUCGGAACGGUCAAGUGAUACUGUCGGACUAGAGUACAGAAGGGGCAACUGGAAUUCUCGGUGUAGCGGUGAAAUGCGUAGAUAUCGGAAGGAACGCCGGUGGCGAAAGCGCUCUGCUAGGCCGCAACUGACACUGAGGGACGAAAGCUAGGGGAGCGAAUGGG
rnacentral:rRNA from 1 species